rnacentral:rRNA from 1 species
UACGAAGGGGGCUAGCGUUGCUCGGAAUCACUGGGCGUAAAGCGCACGUAGGCGGAUUGUUAAGUCGGGGGUGAAAUCCUGGAGCUCAACUCCAGAACUGCCUUCGAUACUGGCGAUCUUGAGUCCGGGAGAGGUGAGUGGAACUCCGAGUGUAGAGGUGAAAUUCGUAGAUAUUCGGAAGAACACCAGUGGCGAAGGCGGCUCACUGGCCCGGUACUGACGC